CUACGUGUUGCACGAAAACAUCUACGCUUUGGUUGGGCUUUGGUUGGGCUUUCUCCCUAAAAUAUUGCAAUCGCAAAGUUUGGUGGAAGAGGGCGAACUGCUUAAAAUAAUGGUGCAGGGUUAGGUGAAUCAUGAUUGGAGCAAUAGUUUCACGAUGGGUUUAAACUUGCCGUUUGCGAAUUUUCAAAAUUUAUUUUUGUCUGACAAAAAGUGUUUUUUAAUCAAUAGAUAAGUUAGUGAAAGUUAUUAAAUAUCUUAAUCCAUAUAUAUUUACAGGACGUGCACAGUCAAGCAUAUUGUUCGCUACAAUACAACAGCAGUAGUUUAGCUAUCGAAAGAAAUAUAUUUGAUGCAAACCGUAGAACAUAUCUGACAUAAAAUUUUUCAAAAAUAUCAGAAAAUGAAGAAAGCCUGUUCCCAAAAUGCCGGUAGCCACUUCCCGAAUCUCUAUCUUACGUGAAACAUCUUGACUGCGUGUCGAUAUGGAAGGGUCAUGUCGUGAAAACAGCGGCUUAAACUGGUGAUGCACUUUAGGUGUAUGAUAAACACUGAUAUAAUUGUUCUCGCCGUAUGGUUGAGUUCUUUUUUGAAUUUCGUUUGCCCUGUGCUCGGCAUUGAAUUUCAACGAAAUGCCAUGUUCGAAUGAGUGAGCGAAAGGCAAGAUUACAGUUGAUACGGCCAAUAGGAUCAGAAUAGCUGCAUCGAGUACCUGAAAUAUAGCAAAAUCAAGCUGAGGAAGAUGUCUCAUUUUGGUUAUGAUAUUGAUGUCCUCCACCUCUACUCCUACAAAUUUCAACAAGUUGCGAAGAAGCUACAAUAGAGCCAAACUUGAAACCUUACUGAUAUGAAAGUGAGCUCAUCAAUGCUGAUUUAUAUAAGCUUGGUGAAACUGAAAAAAUUAAAUAAAUAAAAUAAAAUAAAGACUGCUGCAGUAAAAGCAACCAGUAAAAGACAAACAACUGCUAAGUUCAUGGGCUCAAUCUAGCCAAGUCUGCAGCAUGUUUCGGCUAUCCCCCGCCACGGUGCGCACUAGUCGACUAGCCGCACGACUUUUGGCUAAGCGGAUACGAAGCAAGUCGAAAGUGGUCUAUAAGCUUAAAUAUCGGUAUAAAGAUCCUAAUAACAAACUCAAGUAUGGUCGUUUUUGUUGCCGUUGAAAUUUUUCUAUCCCUCAUAAUAUUUAGGCGCAAAGGGUGAAACAGGUGGUGACGUGAUUCCCGACUUCAAUAGCAUCGCGGGUUGAGGGCUGUCCAAGAGUAGCCGAUGGAACAGGACUAAAAAAAAAUAGGACUGAAAGUUGCCUGUCCUAUUUCUUCAGUCUGAUUUCCACCGCCAAUCUGACCAAGACUUUAGAAAGCUAAUUAACCGCGUUGCAUGUAUCGUUUUUACUGUAUAGUCCUGAAAUAAUUUUUUAAAUUAUUAAGUACUUGUGUUUGGUUAUCCCCGAAUUCAAUUUGUCGUUCAAUAUGGUCUGGAAUUCUAGAAAUCAUUUAUUUCUAAAUCUUGCAUUAAAGUAUUUAAUUUUUGCAGUUCAGCUUGUCAUGAGGCUUAUCACCUUGUGGUAGUGUGUCUUGAAGCUUCUAUCAACGACCUGUUCCCAAAUGUAGAAUCUUUCUAAUUGUACUGGGUCCAUUCCACCACCCGCUGAAAUGAAUAAAUCAAUAACACAACA
rnacentral:lncRNA from 1 species